AAGCUGACUUCUAAUGGUUUGUAAUAUGACACAUUUGAAUUUAUGAAAUUGUUUGUGUUACCAACUUUGAAAAAUCAGAAAAAGAAAUAUUAUCACUGUCAAACAACAUAUAUCUGCAUUAAGUGGUUGUUUUCAUGGUUAAACAAUACUACAUGAUACCUUUUCAGUGUUAAAGCUAGCAAUUAUGUUUAAUUGGUUCCUCACUCUACUGCAAUGUUACACUUUGUUAUAUAUGCAGAAGCAUUCCCAAAAUAGUUGAAGCUUUGAGCAUGGAUGGAUCUAGUGGACAACAGAUAGAAUCCUCAAGGACUGACCCAUCCUCAGGGAAACUUUCGGUAUCACCUUCUGAUAGAUAUGCAGUUGUCCCGGAUGAAACUGUUCAAGCCAGGACUAAGGGAAAUGACGCUAGUGUCCCUGAGAACGACUUGAAGAGAAUCAGGCUCUGACUUUUGGAACUCCAAACUAACCGCACCCCGUGCCUGUAGCCUCCAAUCCAUGUUUGUUCCAUUUACCCUGCCACACACCAUAUCUGUUUCAAGGUUUAUCAUGGUGUCUGGAAAGGGACAUAUAUAUAUAUAAUAUAUUUGCUAUGACCUUAAAAGAGUUUGAAUAGUAAUUCCAUCGUAGUAUAGAUUUUGUGCAUGUUAUGUACCAUGUCAAAUAUGCUGGUGUAUUGUAUGAUGUUAUUAUCUAUUGCAUAACGACAAAGUCUUGAUGGUUGUGCUCCCUA